GUGCUCGCUUUGGCAGCACAUAUACUAAAAACUGGAAUGAUACAGAGAUUAGCAUGGCCCCUGCGCAAGAAGUACAUUUUAUCACCUGUACCAUGGCAAAAGUCC